GCCUUAGCGAGGCCAUGGGGGAAAAAGUCUAACUGGCGGAACUCCUGGGAACUGGGGCGAUGGGCUCUUAGUAUCGGAGGAUUGGAGCCAUCUGAUUUUUACCUGAAAUUCCUUAGUCUCUCCUGUGUUGGGGAAAUGGUCACCUUGCCUUCAGGGACCUGGGCUUUCAGCUGUCCAUACCUGGCCCUGGUUGAUGGCGGCAUGCUGGGCAGUGCACGUGAAGACGCACAUGAGACCGGGACUUGCUGUGUUGCCCAGGCUGGUCUUGAACUCCUGGUCUUAAGCAAUCAUACUGCUUUGGCCACCCAAAGCACUGGGAUUACAGGCGUGAACCACCACACCCAGCUCUUAAAACCACAGUAUUUCUAGCACAGGACUGCACCAAGGGGCAAUGCAGUACUGCAGCCUUCCUCUGACUCAGUUUGGAUUCUCUCUGUCCGUUCUCACCACACUACUAAGGAGAGAACAGUGCCAGGCAGGGGAAGGAGAGCCCCGCAGCAGUUCCCGAGACCUUGUGCCUCCUUCCCCGACGCCGCCUGCUCACCGGUGCCCUCGG
rnacentral:lncRNA from 1 species